rnacentral:rRNA from 1 species
AUUGAACGCUGGCGGCAUGCCUUACACAUGCAAGUCGAACGGCAGCACGGGAGCAAUCCUGGUGGCGAGUGGCGAACGGGUGAGUAAUAUAUCGGAACGUGCCCAGUCGUGGGGGAUAACGCAGCGAAAGCUGUGCUAAUACCGCAUACGAUCUCUGGAUGAAAGCGGGGGACCGUAAGGCAUCGCGCGAUUGGAGCGGCGGGUAUCAGAUUAGCUAGUUGGUGGGGUAAAGGCCCACCAAGGCGACGAUCUGUAGCUGGUCUGAGAGGACGACCAGCCACACUGGAACUGAGACACGGUCCAGACUCCUACGGGAGGCAGCAGUGGGGAAUUUUGGACAAUGGGCGCAAGCCUGAUCCAGCAAUGCCGCGUGCAGGAUGAAGGCCUUCGGGUUGUAAACUGCUUUUGUACGGAACGAAACGGCGAGCUCUAAUAAAGUUUGCUAAUGACGGUACCGUAAGAAUAAGCACCGGCUAACUACGUGCCAGCCGCCGCCGUAA